AGUGAACGCUGGCGGUAGGCCUAACACAUGCAAGUCGAACGGCAGCACAGUAAGAGCUUGCUCUUACGGGUGGCGAGUGGCGGACGGGUGAGGAAUACAUCGGAAUCUACUUUUUCGUGGGGGAUAACGUAGGGAAACUUACGCUAAUACCGCAUACGACCUACGGGUGAAAGCAGGGGAUCUUCGGACCUUGCGCGAUUGAAUGAGCCGAUGUCGGAUUAGCUAGUUGGCGGGGUAAAGGCCCACCAAGGCGACGAUCCGUAGCUGGUCUGAGAGGAUGAUCAGCCACACUGGAACUUAGACACGGUCCAGACUCCUACGGGACGCAGCAGUGGGGAAUAUUGGACAAUGGGCGCAAGCCUGAUCCAGCCAUACCGCGUGGGUGAAGAAGGCCUUCGGGUUGUAAAGCCCUUUUGUUGGGAAAGAAAAGCAGCAGGUUAAUACCCCGCUGUUCUGACGGUACCCAAAGAAUAAGCACCGGCUAACUUCGUG
rnacentral:rRNA from 1 species